CCUACGGGAGACAGCAGUGAGGAAUAUUGGUCAAUGGCCGGAAGGCUGAACCAGCCACGCCGCGUGAAGGACGAAGGUGCCAAGCAUUGUACACUUCUUUUGUCAAGGGACAAAAUCAGGCUCGAGAGCCUGACCGAGUGUACUUGAAGACAAAGCAUCGGCUACUUCCGUGCCAGCAGCCGCGGUAAUACGGAGGAUGCGAGCGUUAUCCGGAUUUAUUGGGUGUAAAGGGUGCGUAGGCGGGCUGUUAAGUCAGCGGUAAAAGCCCGGGGCUCAACCCCGGCGAGCCGUUGAAACUGGCUGUCUGGAGAUGUCGAGAGGUAUGCGGAAUGCGCAGUGUAGCGGGGAAAUGCUGAG
rnacentral:rRNA from 1 species